GACUGUGUAGCCUGAAAGAUAAGGCAUCUGACUUUGGGUCAAAAGACUGAGGGUUUGAGUCCUUUUGCAGUUG
rnacentral:tRNA from 1 species